CCUACGGUGUGCUGCAGUGGGGAAUAUUGGACAAUGGGCGAAAGCCUGAUCCAGCCAUGCCGCGUGUGUGAAGAAGGCCUUCGGGUUGUAAAGCACUUUCAGUGGGGAAGAAAGCCUUGGGGCUAAUACCCUCGAGGAAGGACAUCACCCACAGAAGAAGCACCGGCUAACUCCGUGCCAGCAGCCGCGGUAAUACGGAGGGUGCGAGCGUUAAUCGGAAUUACUGGGCGUAAAGCGCGCGUAGGCGGUCUGAUAAGCCGGUUGUGAAAGCCCCGGGCUCAACCUGGGAACGGCAUCCGGAACUGUCAGGCUAGAGUGCAGGAGAGGAAGGUAGAAUUCCCGGUGUAGCGGUGAAAUGCGUAGAGAUCGGGAGGAAUACCAGUGGCGAAGGCGGCCUUCUGGACUGACACUGACGCUGAGGUGCGAAAGCGUGGGUAGCAAACAGGAUUAGAUACCCUGGUAGUC
rnacentral:rRNA from 1 species